rnacentral:rRNA from 1 species
GAUGAACGCUGGCGGCGUGCCUAAUACAUGCAAGUCGAGCGCACAGACGAGGAGCUUGCUCCUCUGACGUUAGCGGCGGACGGGUGAGUAACACGUGGAUAACCUACCUAUAAGACUGGGAUAACUUCGGGAAACCGGAGCUAAUACCGGAUAAUAUAUUGAACCGCAUGGUUCAAUAGUGAAAGACGGUUUUGCUGUCACUUAUAGAUGGAUCCGCGCCGCAUUAGCUAGUUGGUAAGGUAACGGCUUACCAAGGCAACGAUGCGUAGCCGACCUGAGAGGGUGAUCGGCCACACUGGAACUGAGACACGGUCCAGACUCCUACGGGAGGCAGCAGUAGGGAAUCUUCCGCAAUGGGCGAAAGCUUGACGGAGCAACGCCGCGUGAGUGAUGAAGGUCUUCGGAUCGUAAAACUCUGUUAUUAGGGAAGAACAAAUGUGUAAGUAACUAUGCACGUCUUGACGGUACCUAAUCAGAAAGCCACGGCUAACUACGUG